rnacentral:rRNA from 1 species
GACGAACGCUGGCGGCGUGCCUAAUACAUGCAAGUCGAACGAACCGCGACUAGGUGCUUGCACUUGGUCAAGGUGAGUGGCGAACGGGUGAGUAACACGUGGGUAACCUACCUCAUAGUGGGGGAUAACAGUCGGAAACGACUGCUAAUACCGCAUAGGACAUAGGAUCACAUGAUCCAGUGAGGAAAGGUGGCGCAAGCUAUCGCUAAGAGAUGGACCCGCGGUGCAUUAGCUAGUUGGUAGGGUAAAGGCCUACCAAGGCGAUGAUGCAUAGCCGACCUGAGAGGGUGAUCGGCCACAUUGGGACUGAGACACGGCCCAAACUCCUACGGGAGGCAGCAGUAGGGAAUCUUCCGCAAUGGACGCAAGUCUGACGGAGCAACGCCGCGUGAGUGAAGAAGGUCUUCGGAUCGUAAAGCUCUGUUGUUAGAGAAGAACGGCGCAUAGAGUAACUGUUAUGCGUGUGACGGUAUCUAACCAGAAAGCCACGGCUAACUACGUG